AGUGAACGCUGGCGGUAGGCCUAACACAUGCAAGUCGAACGGCAGCACAGUAAGAGCUUGCUCUUACGGGUGGCGAGUGGCGGGCGGGUGAGGAAUACAUCGGAAUCUACUUUUUCGUGGGGGAUAACGUAGGGAAACUUACGCUAAUACCGCAUACGACCUACGGGUGAAAGCAGGGGAUCUUCGGACCUUGCGCGAUUGAAUGAGCCGAUGUCGGAUUAGCUAGUUGGCGGGGUAAAGGCCCACCAAGGCGACGAUCCGUAGCUGGUCUGAGAGGAUGAUCAGCCACACUGGAACUGAGACACGGUCCAGACUCCUACGGGAGGCAGCAGUGGGGAAUAUUGGACAAUGGGCGAAAGCCUGAUCCAGCCAUACCGCGUGGGUGAAGAAGGCCUUCGGGUUGUAAAGCCCUUUUGGUGGGGAAGAAAAGCAGCAGGUUAAUACCCCGCUGUUCUGACGGUACCCAAAGAAUAAGCACCGGCUAACUUCGUG
rnacentral:rRNA from 1 species